UCGACACGACAUUUUUAAAUCUCCAUCGACUGUGCGACAAGGAACAAUGUCGCGGCGAUG
rnacentral:precursor_RNA from 1 species